rnacentral:rRNA from 1 species
GAUGAACGCUGGCGGCGUGCCUAACACAUGCAAGUCGAACGAGAUGCGUAUUGGAAAGCUUCGGCCGGAAGAUGCGUUAUCUAGUGGCGGACGGGUGAGUAACACGUGGGUAACCUGCCUUAUGGAGGGGGAUAACAGAGAGAACUCACUGCUAAUACCGCAUAAGCACACAUUGCCGCAUGGCAGAGGGUGAAAAGAUUUAUCGCCAUAAGAUGGACCCGCGUCUGAUUAGCCAGUUGGCAGGGUAAAAGCCUACCAAAGCAACGAUCAGUAGCCGAUCUGAGAGGAUGACCGGCCACAUUGGGACUGAGACACGGCCCAAACUCCUACGGGAGGCAGCAGUGGGGAAUAUUGCACAAUGGGGGAAACCCUGAUGCAGCGACGCCGCGUGAGUGAAGAAGUAUUUCGGUAUGUAAAGCUCUAUCAGCAGGGAAGAUAAUGACAGUACCUGACUAAGAAGCCCCGGCUAACUACGUG